AACGAACGCUGGCGGCAGGCUUAACACAUGCAAGUCGAACGCAUCCUUCGGGGUGAGUGGCAGACGGGUGAGUAACGCGUGGGAACGUGCCCUUCAGUUCGGGAUAACCCAGGGAAACUUGGGCUAAUACCGGAUACGUGCGAGAGCAGAAAGAUUUAUCGCUGAAGGAUCGGCCCGCGUCUGAUUAGCUAGGUGGUGGGGUAAUGGCCCACAAAGGCGACGAUCAGUAGCUGGUCUGAGAGGAUGAUCAGCCACAUUGGGACUGAGACACGGCCCAAAUUCCUACGGGAGGCAGCAGUGGGGAAUAUUGGACAAUGGGCGCAAGCCUGAUCCAGCCAUGCCGCGUGAGUGAUGAAGGCCUUAGGGUUGUAAAGCUCUUUCGUCCGGGACGAUAAUGACGGUACCGGAAGAAGAAGCCCCGGCUAACUUCGUGCCAGCCGCCGCCGUAA
rnacentral:rRNA from 1 species